UCUGCAAUGUUAAUUUGUUUUCUGAAAUCUAAAUUUGUUUUCUAAUGUGUUGAUUUGUUUUCAAAAAUGUAAAUUUGCCUUCUCAAAUGUUAAUUUGUUUUCUCAAAUGUUAAUUUGUUUUCUGACAUAUGAUAAACUGUAAGCAGAGGUGGCUGGCCCAUCAGGGAAAAUAAUUCACUCUCUUUUUAGAUAACAUAAGAGUCACAUGUAAAGCAUAUUUUACUCCAGUCUAUAUUAAUGUUGGGCCAUCAGCAGAUAUCACAACUUCAGCAGCCUCAAGCACUCCUUCUGUCCCCUCCACCUCAGAGGAGCCCAGGGAUGCUACAUUAGGAACAAAGGCUGCACCAUUGGAUUGGAUUUUUAUUUUGAGCGUAUGGAAAUCGCCGAUGGAGGGGGGCGCCAUAUAAAAUCUUGCCUAAGGUGCCACAAUGGGUAGAAGCGGCUUUGACUACAACCAGUGCUUCCUUUGUUGCUGCUCAUCACUUUGAAGAAGGACCCAUGGUGGGUGUUUAUGGUUCCUCGCUUCCCCCUCGAUCCUGCAUGCUUCCAUGCUCCUCUGGUUGGAGUAAGCAGGGGCUAUAAUUGUGGGAGUGCGAGAGAGCUUAUGAUAUGUAGUGUGAAUGUGAUGAAUAAACUAAAUGAGUCCUUCAGACUCCCCCUUAUUAUACAUGUCAACACACAUAUAUAUAAUUUCAUGAACAACAAAAAUGAUUGCU